GACAGAGGUGCCGAGCGUUAGGCGGAAUCACUGGGCUUAAAGCGUGUGUAGGCGGCUCUGUAAGUACCUUGUGAAAUCCCACGGCUCAACCGUGGAACUGCUUGGUAUACUGCGGGUCUUGAGCCACCUAGGGGCAAGUGGAACAAACGGUGGAGCGGUGAAAUGCGUAGAUAUCGUUUGGAACGCCAAUGGUGAAAACAACUUGCUGGGGGUGUGCUGACGCUGAGACACGAAAGCGUGGGUAGCAAACAGG
rnacentral:rRNA from 1 species